rnacentral:rRNA from 1 species
GACGAACGCUGGCGGCGUGCUUAACACAUGCAAGUCGAGCGAUGAAGUUCCUUCGGGAAUGGAUUAGCGGCGGACGGGUGAGUAACACGUGGGUAACCUGCCUCAUAGAGGGGAAUAGCCUUCCGAAAGGAAGAUUAAUACCGCAUAAGAUUGUAGUGCCGCAUGGUAUAGCAAUUAAAGGAGCAAUCCGCUAUGAGAUGGACCCGCGUCGCAUUAGCUAGUUGGUGAGGUAACGGCUCACCAAGGCGACGAUGCGUAGCCGACCUGUGAGGGUGAUCGGCCACAUUGGGACUGAGACACGGCCCAGACUCCUACGGGAGGCAGCAGUGGGGAAUAUUGCACAAUGGGGGAAACCCUGAUGCAGCAACGCCGCGUGAGUGAUGACGGUCUUCGGAUUGUAAAACUCUGUCUUCAGGGACGAUAAUGACGGUACCUGAGGAGGAAGCCACGGCUAACUACGUGCCAGCCGCCGCGGUAACAC